rnacentral:rRNA from 1 species
ACUACGGGUGGCAGCAGUGAGGAAUAUUGGUCAAUGGGAGAGAUCCUGAACCAGCCAAGCCGCGUGAGGGAAGACGGCCCUAUGGGUUGUCAACCUCUUUUGUCGGAGAACCAAACCCGGGACGUGUCCCGGACUGCGUGUAUCCGAAGCAAAAGCAUCGGCUAACUCCGUGCAAGCAGCCGCGGUAAUACGGAGGAUGCGAGCGUUAUCCGGAUUUAUUGGGUUUAAAGGGUGUGUAGGCGGUCCGUUAAGUCAGCGGUAAACUUGCGGGGCUCAACCCCGUCGAGCCGUUGAAACUGGCAGACUUGAGUUGGCGAGAAGUACGCGGAAGGCGCGGAGUAGCGGUGAAAUGCAUAGAUAUCGCGCAGAACUCCGAUUGCGAAGGCAGCGUACCGGCGCCAGACUGACGCUGAGGCACGAAAGCGUGGGGAUCGAACAGGAUUAGAUACCCGGAUAGUC